AGGGAAAUAAAAUCACAGAAGGAAGUGUUCUAAAGCCCUUCAAUACAGCAAACUGUGUCGGCAAAGCAAAGAUUACAUCACCUCCAGAAACAAGGAAACAGCUCUGUGAAGAUCUGGCUACCCAAAGGAAUUUACUCUGCAGUGUGCUGUUUCAAUGCAAUGACAUCACAGACACCGGCAGGGUUCCUACCCAGCAUGAGAUAGACAGACACAGCUCCCAGCAUCAUCUGGCACCCAGCAAGUUCACCUCUGGAACUUCCUCAAGCUCUUUCUGGAAGUGACACAGAGCUGCUCAGUGCCCCGGCACUCAGGUUCAGUUUGGACAAGGAUUUUGGAUGUCCGCAUAGAAGAGCUGUUUGAACACAGGGGUUUAGUUUGGUGUUUUACUAAAUAAACUUUGCAUUU
rnacentral:lncRNA from 7 species